rnacentral:rRNA from 1 species
UGCGGCGUGCUUACACAUGCAAGUCGAACGAGAAUCACCGGAAGGAGUUUUCGGACAACGGAAGGUGAGGACAGUGGCGGACGGGUGAGUAACGCGUGAGAAACCUGCCUUUCAGAGGGGGACAACAGUUGGAAACGACUGCUAAUACCGCAUAACGCAUAGGUAUCGCAUGGUACUUAUGCCAAAGAUUUAUCGCUGAAAGAUGGCCUCGCGUCUGAUUAGCUGGUUGGUGAGGUAACGGCCCACCAAGGCGACGAUCAGUAGCCGGACUGAGAGGUUGACCGGCCACAUUGGGACUGAGAUACGGCCCAGACUCCUACGGGAGGCAGCAGUGGGGAAUAUUGGGCAAUGGGCGCAAGCCUGACCCAGCAACGCCGCGUGAAGGAAGAAGGCUUUCGGGUUGUAAACUUCUUUUGGCAGGGAAGAGGAGAAGACGGUACCUGCCGAAUAAGCCACGGCUAACUACGUGCCAGCAGCCGCGGUA